UACGGAGGGGGCUAGCGUUGUUCGGAAUUACUGGGCGUAAAGGGCGCGUAGGCGGCCCAGCAAGUCGGGAGUGAAAGCCCGGGGCUCAACCCCGGAACUGCUUUCGAAACUGCUGAGCUAGAGUGCGGAAGAGGCAACUGGAAUUCCCAGUGUGGCGGUGAAAUGCGUAGAUAUUGGGAAGAACACCGGAGGCGAAGGCGGGUUGCUGGGCCGACACUGACGCUGAGGAGCGAAAGCGUGGGGAGCGAACAGG
rnacentral:rRNA from 1 species